GCCAUGCCGCGUGUGUGAAGAAGGCCUUCGGGUUGUAAAGCACUUUCAGUAGGGAGGAAGGUAGUGUAGUUAACACCUGCAUUAUUUGACGUUACCUACAGAAGAAGCACCGGCUAACUCCGUGCCAGCAGCCGCGGUAAUACGGAGGGUGCGAGCGUUAAUCGGAAUUACUGGGCGUAAAGCGCAUGCAGGCGGCCUGUUAAGUCAGAUGUGAAAGCCCGGGGCUCAACCUCGGAAUUGCAUUUGAAACUGGCAGACUAGAGUACUGUAGAGGGGGUAGAAUUUCAGGUGUAGCGGUGAAAUGCGUAGAGAUCUGAAGGAAUACCGGUGGCGAAGGCGGCCCCCUGGACAGAUACUGACACUCAGAUGCGAAAGCGUGGGGAGCAAACAGGAUUAGAUACCCUGGUAG
rnacentral:rRNA from 1 species